CCAAACUAAAAAAUAACAACACAUCACAACAUCUGGAACCGCUACUGAAACCUAAGUCUGAAGUCAAAUGGAAAAAAAAAAAAAUUGAAUAUCAUGUUUUUGGAUGUUAAACACGUGUCAGUCUAUGAACAAUUCCAAUAAAUAAGGCCGAUUGCACAAGUCAAUCACAAUGUACUGCUGCUCUCACUGGCAGAAAUUGAAGGUGUUUCAGUUUUCACAAGAUGCAGACCCCUGCCACCAAUAUCCAGACCUUGAAAACGACCUAGGGGAUCCUGUUGCAUUGUGUCAGGGAGACCCUGCCCAUGCCCUGCAAGUAAACGGCGAUGAGGAGUCAACAAGCUAUCCUGGAGGGAAUGAAAUUGCUGCAUCUGUAUGUUCUGGGAUUCGCUAGCCCCUGAUUGUGGCUGAUGCGAAAAGAAUGCUGAUUGGUUAUACGGAAUGUGCUGCAUCCCCAAAUUGUAUGCAUCUGAUGAUGACAUUUCCCCUGUGGCCAUUUUAAGUCUUUCCACUUCCUGCUUCAGGGCUUCAUUCAGAGCAUCACGUAACUGAGCUUGUUGUGCCAUAGCUUGCAAACGGAGCUUGAGCUCUGUAUUUUCAUUAGUAAACUGGGUUGUAUCCCGCUGGAAAAGGGUUAAUUGAGCAGAAAGAGUGGUUGCUUCUGUUUGAAGGGUCUGAACCUUUCUCUCAAGUUCAGUAAUGUAACGGGCCUUUCUCUCUUUCGAACGAGAAGCAGACUGCCGAUUUGCCAAAAUCCUUUUGGCGCGUUUUGGAUCAAUGGUCCAAAGUUCAGCAAGCUUAUCAGGAGCCAUAGCUUUCUUAGCUUCAAUACUCUCACUUAAUAACAAGCUGGAACUAUCCACUGAAUUGCUAUGCCUGUGUCGAGGCCUGGUGAAAUUCCUUUCUCCAUCACCACAGUCAGCUACCAGUCCACUACUUCCAGCGCCGGCAUUGUUGAACCCUGGAACAUCUGUAGGGUUGGAUCCAGAGCCUAGUUUUUCAAUGUCCAUGUAAGUGGAGAAGAAAUCAUCCUCGGAUCCGAUCUCCUCAAAACUUCCGGCAGACGCAUCGAAUGGGUCAGAUACCAGAUCUAGAUCCUCAGGCAGCCGGAAGUUCACCUCGGAGUGAGCUCUGCGGUGGUGCGAUGGCCUGAAUGUAGCGGAAAAUGGUGGCGUCUGAUUGAGCUGCUUGGAGUUUGGAUUGGACGGAUCUUGCAUUUUGAGGCGAUAUCUGCGGGAGAUUCAGACAGUAGAGCCCCAAUGUAGGAAG
rnacentral:misc_RNA from 1 species